rnacentral:rRNA from 1 species
AUACGUAGGGUGCAAGCGUUGUCCGGAUUUAUUGGGCGUAAAGGGCUCGUAGGCGGUCUGUCACGUCGGAUGUGAAAACUCGGAGCUCAACUCCGGGCCUGCAUCCGAUACGGGCAGACUAGAGUUCGGUAGGGGAGAUUGGAAUUCCUGGUGUAGCGGUGGAAUGCGCAGAUAUCAGGGGGAACACCGAUGGCGAAGGCAGAUCUCUGGGCCGAUACUGACGCUGAGGAGCGAAAGCGUGGGGAGCAAACAGGAUUAGAAACCCCGGUAGUCC